rnacentral:rRNA from 1 species
CCUACGGGUGGCAGCAGUGAGGAAUAUUGGUCAAUGGCCGCAGGUCUGAACCAGCCAAGUCGCGUGAGGGAUGACGGUCCUAUGGAUUGUAAACUUCUUUUGUCCGGGAGUAAAGGGCGCCACGUGUGGCGUUUUGCGAGUACCUGAAGAAUCAGCAUCGGCUAACUCCGUGCCGGCAGCCGCGGUAAUACGGAGGAUGCGAGCGUUAUCCGGAUUUAUUGGGUUUAAAGGGUGCGCAGCCGGAAGGUCAAGUCAGCGGUAAAAUCUCGGGCCUCAACUCCGUAGUGCCGUUGAAACUGGCGUGCUUGAGAGAACUAGAAGUAGGCGGAAUGCGUGGUGUAGCGGUGAAAUGCAUAGAGAUCACGCAGAACUCCGAUUGCGAAGGCAGCAUACC